UACGUAGGGACCAAGCGUUGUUCGGAUUUACUGGGCGUAAAGGGUGCGUAGGCGGCUUGGUAAGUUGGGUGUGAAAGCCCCGGGCUCAGCCCGGGAAGGGCACUCGAAACUGCCGAGCUGGAGUGCCGGAGGGGAGAGUGGAAUUCCUGGUGUAGCGGUGAAAUGCGUAGAUAUCAGGAGGAAUACCGGUGGCGAAAGCGACUCUCUGGACGGCAACUGACGCUGAGGCACGAAAGCGUGGGGAGCAAACAGG
rnacentral:rRNA from 1 species